rnacentral:lncRNA from 1 species
GUCAGAGGGUACUUCCCCACCCUUUUUACAGUGGCAGAAAAUCUUUCUCAUACAUAUAAAUAUUACCUUAACCUCAUUAAUCUUCAUCUCUUUCCGAAUUAUUGUAUAGUUACUAUAGACAAACCUCUUCUUGCUCUUUUAUGCAUAUAUAAUUAGAAACCAACCCUAGGCACUAAAAAGAAUAGUUUUAGUGAUAUACCUUCUUAUCAAACAAAGAGCCAACACAAGUUAUGAAAUUAAACUAGACACACCCCUUCUUCGAGGUUACGCCAAGCCAGUGCCUGGGCCUGAAACUGGCCUGCAGCCCCUCAGCUUCGCCCACUGCCUUCCGACCCUGGACCUUCGCAAAGUGAACGAGCUUCGGGACUUCGUGAAAAUGUAUAAGCAGGAUCCGAGCAUUCUGCAUACCAAGGAAAUGUGCUUUCUGAGGGAGCAGGUGGAGAGCAUGGGGGGUGAAGUACCAUGUGCUACUCAGAAAGCUAUUAUAAAUCAGAAGAAAAUAUCAAGGAAUUAAAAACAGGUAGUAAGAAGGUGGAGGAAAACAUAAGCACAGACGAACUAUCAAGUG